rnacentral:rRNA from 1 species
CAGUCGCCGCGGUAACACGUAGGUGGCAAGCGUUGUCCGGAAUUAUUGGGCGUAAAGCGCGCGCAGGCGGAUCAGUCAGUCUGUCUUAAAAGUUCGGGGCUUAACCCCGUGAUGGGAUGGAAACUGCUGAUCUAGAGUAUCGGAGAGGAAAGUGGAAUUCCUAGUGUAGCGGUGAAAUGCGUAGAUAUUAGGAAGAACACCAGUGGCGAAGGCGACUUUCUGGACGAAAACUGACGCUGAGGCGCGAAAGCCAGGGGAGCGAACGGGAUUAGAGACCCGUGUGUCCCUGUCUCUUAUACAC